ACGGAUGAGGGUGAUUACAACAUCAAGCUGCGCAACUUGGUGAAAUUCCUGGAAGAGGGCGACAAGACCAAGAUCACGCUGCGUUUCCGCGGCCGCGAGAUGGCGCACCAGGAUAUCGGCAUGCGCGUGCUGGAGCGUUUGCGCACCGAUCUCGAGCCUUAUGGCCAGGUGGAACAGUUUCCCAAGAUGGAAGGCCGCCAGAUGGUGAUGGUGCUGGCGCCGAAGAAAAAGAAAUAAGCAAGGUAUAAGAAUUGCGAAGACGCCAUGGCGCGAGCCAGAGGCGGCUUUGCACUGGCGAUGAACCCGAUUUCAUCGCCCUA
rnacentral:misc_RNA from 1 species